rnacentral:rRNA from 1 species
GAUGAACGCUGGCGGCGUGCCUAAUACAUGCAAGUCGAGCGAACGGACGAGAAGCUUGCUUCUCUGAUGUUAGCGGCGGACGGGUGAGUAACACGUGGAUAACCUACCUAUAAGACUGGGAUAACUUCGGGAAACCGGAGCUAAUACCGGAUGAUAUUUUGAACCGCAUGGUUCAAAAGUGAAAGACGGUCUUGCUGUCACUUAUAGAUGGAUCCGCGCUGCAUUAGCUAGUUGGUAAGGUAACGGCUUACCAAGGCAACGAUGCAUAGCCGACCUGAGAGGGUGAACGGCCACACUGGAACUGAGACACGGUCCAGACUCCUACGGGAGGCAGCAGUAGGGAAUCGUCCGCAAUGGGCGAAAGCCUGACGGAGCAACGCCGCGUGAGUGAUGAAGGUCUUCGGAUCGUAAAACUCUGUUAUUAGGGAAGAACAUAUGUGUAAGUAACUGUGCACAUCUUGACGGUACCUAAUCAGAAAGCCACGGCUAACUACGUG